rnacentral:pre_miRNA from 7 species
AACCGCCAGUGCAAAUCGAUUUUCACUGGCGGUUUUAUUACGCCGACCGCCAGUGAAAAUCGAUUUUCACUGGCGGUC